CCUACGGGAGGCAGCAGUAAGGAAUAUUGGUCAAUGGACGCAAGUCUGAACCAGCCAUGCCGCGUGGAGGAUGAAGGUCCUCUGGAUUGUAAACUUCUUUUAUCUGGGACGAAAAAAGGGUUUUCUAACUCGUCUGACGGUACCAGAUGAAUAAGCACCGGCUAACUCCGUGCCAGCAGCCGCGGUAAUACGGAGGGUGCAAGCGUUAUCCGGAUUCACUGGGUUUAAAGGGUGCGUAGGCGGGCAAUUAAGUCCGUGGUGAAAUACCUGAGCUUAACUUGGGAACUGCCAUGGAUACUAUUUGUCUUGAAUGUCGUGGAGGUUAGCGGAAUAUGUCAUGUAGCGGUGAAAUGCUUAGAUAUGACAUAGAACACCUAUUGCGAAGGCAGCUAACUACGCGAAUAUUGACGCUGAGGCACGAAAGCGUGGGGAUCAAACAGGAUUAGAUACCCUGGUAGUCCACGCCCUAAACGAUGAUUACUCGACAUUGGCGAUACACAGUACAGUGUCUGAGACGAAGACGAUUAAAGUUAAAGUACCACCGUACGGGUAAGGUAACGACCGACGAAGUUAGUUAAACGUUAACGAAAGGAAGUUAGACGGCGUUGAGACGUUAGCCGACGGACGACGACGAGGGGAGGUUAGGAG
rnacentral:rRNA from 1 species